rnacentral:rRNA from 1 species
UACGGGGGGAGCAAGCGUUGUUCGGAUUUACUGGGCGUAAAGGGCGCGUAGGCGGUCAGCACAAGUCAGUUGUGAAAUCUCCGGGCUUAACUCGGAAAGGUCAACUGAUACUGUGCGACUAGAGUGCAGAAGGGGCAACUGGAAUUCUCGGUGUAGCGGUGAAAUGCGUAGAUAUUGGGAAGAACACCUGAGGCGAAGGCGGGUUGCUGGGCUGAUACUGACGCUGAGGCGCGAAAGCCAGGGGAGCAAACGGG